CCCUAACUCCUCUUCUGCCUCUCAAUCUCCGUCCCUCUGGGCACGUUGUUCAUUCCUCUUCCUAAAAUGGUUUCUCUUUUUUCUCUGUAUUGUAUUUUACAUAUAUUGAAUCAAGCGAAUCCAUUUUAGGAAGAGAAUGAAUACCGUUAUCAUAGAGAUACUGAAACUCAUAAACUCGAGAGAAUUUGGUGGCGUCUUCAUCUCUCUCUUUGAACACAUGCAGUAUUCAUUCCUCUUUUAGAGAUUAGAUUCUGUUUACUUGAAUCUGAAUUUAAUGUUUGCAAGGGAAAUUAAUACUGUUUUAUCAAAGAGAUUUUUUCCCUUUGCUGCUAUGGCAGAAUCUAUUUGUUUCAGGUUGAAAAAAAAAAAAGAAGAUUGUUACUUUCUCUAGAUCCAAUUCUCGUAUAUUAUAUAGCUUUUUGGCUGUUUAACUGUUUGUCUGCUUUUGUUUUAGUUGGCUCUUGGAUGUCUAUUUUCUGCUAGAUUUAAAUAAAUGGUUCCUUUUUUACAACCUGUCUUGACAAGCUUUAAUGGAGUCAAGCGAACUAUUAGAGAUGAUAUAUUGCAGCAGGUGAUCCAAUUACUAAGUGAUGAAUCUUAGAGAGGGAUCAGUAUCAAUGGGAUAUACCUCUGUAAGAAUAUAGCAAAAUCUCUGGAAAAUCUUUUAGGUUGGGUUUGCUUAAGCUAGUUUACUUUGGUAGUUGGCCUAUUCUGUCAUCGGAGUUUGGUGUGUGGUCUUUAAGACUUGGCCUUCGACUCUCUUUUGUUUUUGCAGAGCAAAAGAGAAUGGAAGGGUUUGGAUGUUCUUUUUUUAUUUUAAAGAAUUUUUAUUAAGAUAUA